AACAACUGACAGUGAACAGGAGCAACCAGAGAGCAUCGCAACUUCAGUCACUGCAGUCAAGAAAAGUCAAGGCCAGAGAAAAAAUAAAAGCCGUUUACCAUGAUGAUGAUGAAGAUCUGUGUCAUCCUACUUCUGUGUGUUGUUGCAGCAGCAACAACCACAGUUGCCCCUUCAACAACUACAGUAGCGGCAACAACAACAACACCAGCAGCCGCAACAACCACA